rnacentral:rRNA from 1 species
GGGUUGUGAGGUUAAGCGACUAAGCGUACACGGUGGAUGCCCUGGCAGUCAGAGGCGAUGAAGGACGUGCUAAUCUGCGAUAAGCGUCGGUAAGGUGAUAUGAACCGUUAUAACCGGCGAUUUCCGAAUGGGGAAACCCAGUGUGAUUCGUCACACUAUCAUUAACUGAAUCCAUAGGUUAAUGAGGCGAACCGGGGGAACUGAAACAUCUAAGUACCCCGAGGAAAAGAAAUCAACCGAGAUUCCCCCAGUAGCGGCGAGCGAACGGGGAGCAGCCCAGAGCCUGAAUCAGUGUGUGUGUUAGUGGAAGCGUCUGGAAAGGCGCGCGAUACAGGGUGACAGCCCCGUACACAAAAAUGCACAUGCUGUGAGCUCGAUGAGUAGGGCGGGACACGUGGUAUCCUGUCUGAAUAUGGGGGGACCAUCCUCCAAGGCUAAAUACUCCUGACUGACCGAUAGUGAACCAGUACCGUGAGGGAAAGGCGAAAAGAACCCCGGCGAGGGGAGUGAAAAAGAACCUGAAACCGUGUACGUACAAGCAGUGGGAGCACAGAGCAAUCUGUGUGACUGCGUACCUUUUGUAUAAUGGGUCAGCGACUUAUAUUCUGUAGCAAGGUUAACCGAAUAGGGGAGCCGAAGGGAAACCGAGUCUUAACUGGGCGUUAAGUUGCAGGGUAUAGACCCGAAACCCGGUGAUCUAGCCAUGGGCAGGUUGAAGGUUGGGUAACACUAACUGGAGGACCGAACCGACUAAUGUUGAAAAAUUAGCGGAUGACUUGUGGCUGGGGGUGAAAGGCCAAUCAAACCGGGAGAUAGCUGGUUCUCCCCGAAAGCUAUUUAGGUAGCGCCUCGUGAAUUCAUCUCCGGGGGUAGAGCACUGUUUCGGCAAGGGGGUCAUCCCGACUUACCAACCCGAUGCAAACUGCGAAUACCGGAGAAUGUUAUCACGGGAGACACACGGCGGGUGCUAACGUCCGUCGUGAAGAGGGAAACAACCCAGACCGCCAGCUAAGGUCCCAAAGUCAUGGUUAAGUGGGAAACGAUGUGGGAAGGCCCAGACAGCCAGGAUGUUGGCUUAGAAGCAGCCAUCAUUUAAAGAAAGCGUAAUAGCUCACUGGUCGAGUCGGCCUGCGCGGAAGAUGUAACGGGGCUAAACCAUGCACCGAAGCUGCGGCAGCGACGCUGAUGCGUUGUUGGGUAGGGGAGCGUUCUGUAAGCCUGCGAAGGUGUGCUGUGAGGCAUGCUGGAGGUAUCAGAAGUGCGAAUGCUGACAUAAGUAACGAUAAAGCGGGUGAAAAGCCCGCUCGCCGGAAGACCAAGGGUUCCUGUCCAACGUUAAUCGGGGCAGGGUGAGUCGACCCCUAAGGCGAGGCCGAAAGGCGUAGUCGAUGGGAAACAGGUUAAUAUUCCUGUACUUGGUGUUACUGCGAAGGGGGGACGGAGAAGGCUAUGUUGGCCGGGCGACGGUUGUCCCGGUUUAAGCGUGUAGGCUGGUUUUCCAGGCAAAUCCGGAAAAUCAAGGCUGAGGCGUGAUGACGAGGCACUACGGUGCUGAAGCAACAAAUGCCCUGCUUCCAGGAAAAGCCUCUAAGCAUCAGGUAACAUCAAAUCGUACCCCAAACCGACACAGGUGGUCAGGUAGAGAAUACCAAGGCGCUUGAGAGAACUCGGGUGAAGGAACUAGGCAAAAUGGUGCCGUAACUUCGGGAGAAGGCACGCUGAUAUGUAGGUGAAGUCCCUCGCGGAUGGAGCUGAAAUCAGUCGAAGAUACCAGCUGGCUGCAACUGUUUAUUAAAAACACAGCACUGUGCAAACACGAAAGUGGACGUAUACGGUGUGACGCCUGCCCGGUGCCGGAAGGUUAAUUGAUGGGGUCAGCGCAAGCGAAGCUCUUGAUCGAAGCCCCGGUAAACGGCGGCCGUAACUAUAACGGUCCUAAGGUAGCGAAAUUCCUUGUCGGGUAAGUUCCGACCUGCACGAAUGGCGUAAUGAUGGCCAGGCUGUCUCCACCCGAGACUCAGUGAAAUUGAACUCGCUGUGAAGAUGCAGUGUACCCGCGGCAAGACGGAAAGACCCCGUGAACCUUUACUAUAGCUUGACACUGAACAUUGAGCCUUGAUGUGUAGGAUAGGUGGGAGGCUUUGAAGUGUGGACGCCAGUCUGCAUGGAGCCGACCUUGAAAUACCACCCUUUAAUGUUUGAUGUUCUAACGUUGACCCGUGAUCCGGGUUGCGGACAGUGUCUGGUGGGUAGUUUGACUGGGGCGGUCUCCUCCUAAAGAGUAACGGAGGAGCACGAAGGUUGGCUAAUCCUGGUCGGACAUCAGGAGGUUAGUGCAAUGGCAUAAGCCAGCUUGACUGCGAGCGUGACGGCGCGAGCAGGUGCGAAAGCAGGUCAUAGUGAUCCGGUGGUUCUGAAUGGAAGGGCCAUCGCUCAACGGAUAAAAGGUACUCCGGGGAUAACAGGCUGAUACCGCCCAAGAGUUCAUAUCGACGGCGGUGUUUGGCACCUCGAUGUCGGCUCAUCACAUCCUGGGGCUGAAGUAGGUCCCAAGGGUAUGGCUGUUCGCCAUUUAAAGUGGUACGCGAGCUGGGUUUAGAACGUCGUGAGACAGUUCGGUCCCUAUCUGCCGUGGGCGCUGGAGAACUGAGGGGGGCUGCUCCUAGUACGAGAGGACCGGAGUGGACGCAUCACUGGUGUUCGGGUUGUCAUGCCAAUGGCACUGCCCGGUAGCUAAAUGCGGAAGAGAUAAGUGCUGAAAGCAUCUAAGCACGAAACUUGCCCCGAGAUGAGUUCUCCCUGACUCCUUGAGAGUCCUGAAGGAACGUUGAAGACGACGACGUUGAUAGGCCGGGUGUGUAAGCGCAGCGAUGCGUUGAGCUAACCGGUACUAAUGAACCGUGAGGCUUAACCUUACAACGCCGAAG